UACGGGGGGGGUAAGCGUUGUUCGGAAUUACUGGGCGUAAAGGGCUCGUAGGCGGCCAACUAAGUCAGACGUGAAAUCCCUCGGCUUAACCGGGGAACUGCGUCUGAUACUGGAUGGCUUGAGUGUGGGAGAGGGAUGCGGAAUUCCAGGUGUAGCGGUGAAAUGCGUAGAUAUCUGGAGGAACACCGGUGGCGAAGGCGGCAUCCUGGACUACUACUGACGCUGAGUGAGCGAAAGCCAGGGGAGCAAACGGG
rnacentral:rRNA from 1 species